rnacentral:misc_RNA from 1 species
UCAAGACAGUAACAACAGUGGCAAAACCCCCAACAAGAAGAGAAGGGUUUUGGGUAAAACCCCAUCCCCUGCAACAACUGCAGCAACAGCAACAACUGAAACAAAAGUGGCGCGGAAGAAACCUGUAGGUGUUAGGCAAAGGAAGUGGGGUAAGUGGGCAGCCGAAAUUAGAAAUCCAGUCACCAAAGUCAGGACUUGGUUGGGUACUUACAAUACUCUUGAAGAGGCUGCGCAGGCUUACGAGGCAAAGAAGCGCGAGUAUGAUGCUAUGACCAUGGCAGCCUCUGAGAAGAGCCAAAAUAUUUCCAUUUCUGUGGCAGCCUCUCAGUCACAAAACAACAAGAAGAGCUGCACUAACCAUCAUGGUCCUGUUUCCUCAGAAGACACUGACAGCUUGUUAUCACAUACUUCUCCAUCUUCGGUUCUGGAUUUGGAUAUUUCAGUUGUGUCAAAUCUUAAUGGUGACUCUAG